rnacentral:tRNA from 1 species
GGGCGAUUAGCUCAGUUGGUUAGAGCGUCAGCUUUACACGCUGAAUGCCACAGGUUCGAGUCCUGUAUCGCCCACCA